AGCGCAGGCGGUUUCUUAAGUCUGAUGUGAAAGUCUUCGGCUCAACCGAAGAAGUGCAUCGGAAACUGGGAAACUUGAGUGCAGAAGAGGACAGUGGAACUCCAUGUGUAGCGGUGAAAUGCGUAGAUAUAUGGAAGAACACCAGUGGCGAAGGCGGCUGUCUGGUCUGUAACUGACGCUGAGGCUCGAAAGCAUGGGUAGCAAACA
rnacentral:rRNA from 1 species